rnacentral:lncRNA from 1 species
AAAAAAAAAGUAGAAUGAAGCCUGUAUGGUUCGAAGUGUAUCUAUAUUGACAUGCAUAUUGCAUCAAGUGUCUCGUUAGGUUUUAUCUCUUAGGGAUAUUUGUUCCCCUUGUCCUUCAGGGUAUCUGUUUCUUCCUCCCAUAUCUGGUCUAGAAAGAUGUAAGAGGACCGCUCUUAGUGGAUGACGGCGUACCCUCUGAUGAGAGUGGUAUCGCACUAUCUGUAGGGGUCACCUGUGGCUAAGUAAUGUUGUGACUAUAGACACCUGUUAGGGCCACUAUGGCUGGUACAACUGUGGUCAUAGAUUAUACCAUGGUUUAGCAAACCGAAAAUGGGCCUCAGUAGAUUGUGGUAUCUGUAUCUGAUUUGGUUAUUCCACUUGGGUAGUUGGAAAUCCUUAUUUGCCCUCAAAGAUGGAAGUUGUAAGGACUUUGCGAAGCAUGACACAAAAAUCUAAGCAUCUCAUGAUUUAU